rnacentral:rRNA from 1 species
AGCAGCCGCGGUAAUUCCAGCUCCAAUAGCGUAUAUUAAAGUUGUUGCAGUUAAAAAGCUCGUAGUUGAAUUUCGGGAUUAGUACGCUGGUCGUGCCUUCGGUAUGUACUGGUGUUACUGGUUCCUACCUUCUGACGAACUGUCAUGUCAUUAAUUUGGUGUGGCGGGGAAUCAGGACUGUUACUUUGAGAAAAUUAGAGUGUUUAAAGCAGGCUCGCGCUUGAAUACAUUAGCAUGGAAUAAUGAAAUAGGACGUUCGAUCCUAUUUUGUUGGUUUCUAGGAUUGACGUAAUGAUUAAUAGGGAUAGUUGGGGGCAUUAGUAUUCAAUUGUCAGAGGUGAAAUUCUUAGAUUUAUUGAAGACUAACUACUGCGAAAGCAUUUGCCAAGGAUGUUUUCAUUAAUCAAGAACGAAAGUUAGGGGAUCGAAGACGAUCAGAUACCGUCGUAG